GCAAACUUGGUCAUUUAGAGGAAGUAAAAGUCGUAACAAGGUCUCCGUAGGUGAACCUGCGGAGGGAUCAUUACCGAUCGAAGCGCCCCCCCGCCCGCCGGGGGGGCAGCCCGGCGGGGAAAAGACGCGCCCUCACCGGCGCGGCCCCCGGGUCUUCACCCACACCCUUUGUGUCCACGACCCGUUGCUUCGGGGGCCACCCCGCCUUGUGCGGGGGCCCCCGGCGGCACACAACCAAACUCGCGUCACCGAGCGUCGGAGUCCAUCGCGAAUCGCGACAAAACUUUCAACAACGGAUCUCUUGGUUCUGGCAUCGAUGAAGAACGCAGC
rnacentral:misc_RNA from 1 species